rnacentral:rRNA from 1 species
UGCGUAGGCGGACUAAUAAGUCAGUGGUGAAAUCUUUCGGCUCAACCGGAAACUGCCAUUGAUACUGUUAGUCUUGAGUUCGGUUGAGAUAGGCGGAAUGUGUAAUGUAGCGGUGAAAUGCUUAGAUAUUACACAGAACACCAAUUGCGUAGGCAGCUUACUAGACCGACACUGACGCUGAGGCACGAAAGCGUGGGGAGCGAACAGGAUUAGAUACCCUGGUAGUCC